ensembl:lncRNA
GUUUGAACAUGGCCUCGAAACGGCAACAGGAGUCGGGAGCGGAGAAAAGAAAGAAGAAGAGGAAGCGUGAUGAAACUCAGGCGUCGCUUGCCGGGUCAAUGCUUAAAUAUGUUCAAGGAGGAUCUCAAGGACAGGAUGAACCAUCCAGUAGUAGUGCCAUCCCUGGACAUCAACCACCAGCCAUUGUAGACCCUGCAACAAUCCCUAGCCAAGAAGAACAAGAACCAUCAACCACCAGUUCAGAAACAGACUGUACCAGUAGGCAUCGUUGGAGACCAGAGUGGAGUCUGCGAUGGUGGAGUUCCUCUCACUGAUCACACUGUUCCUGGAGGGAGGAGCUGCUUUGCUGGGCUUGGGUUUCUGACACUUGAUCACGAUGGUG